UAGAAAGCAAGUCUUGGUACCCAUGUAAGUUACUGUUUAUUAGAGAGGAGUUUGCAUCUGCUUGCUCAUUUUAAAUAAAGGAGUAAGUCUUACCCGAGUACCUGACUCUGUUGUCCACAGAGCAUCUUCAACAUUUCUCAGGGCUUAAUGGAUACUUUGUUCUCAUAACCGUCCAUCUGUGCAUAAAUACAUGAUACAAAACAGCAAGUGUGUGUUUAAGGGCCCUUUUAGAAACCGUCCGAAGCUCUGUCUUAAGCCCAAGCCAAAAUUCAUUUAAUGAUUUGUUUUCAAUGACACUCAAGUCAGCAGUAUAAGUAAUUUUAAAAUUCAUAUAUUCUAACACAGUAAAAUCCAAAGAUAUGUUAAUGUGAUAUUUACAUGCCAAGAAAUUAUGGCAGGAGAAAAAUGUAAAGUCUUUGUUUCUGGAAUUAACCCGUUGUGUCUUCGCAAGAAGAGAAAGCCAUGUGUGUGCAUAGAAACUCUGCAGUUCAUACCAGGAAGCUGUCUGCACCUUUGACUGGGUAGGGGGUGUCAGGGGACAUCCAUUAACAUUGCAUGGCAUAACACAUGCAGUUCAGGGAACAUGUUUUGUGUCUGCCAUGAAUACUCAUGAUGUGUCAUAGAUCAAUACUGCCAGAAACAUGUCAGGUUAAGCAACAUGUCAGGUUAAGCAUGCAUUUGAUUCCUUGAAAUAAUUUUUAGUCAUCACAGGUUCAGGAAUCAUUUACUUUGCCAAUUUGUGUGUGUGCGUGUGUGUGUGUGUGUGUGUGUGUGUGUGUGUGCGCGCGCGCGCGCGUGUGUGUGUAUGUGUGUGUGUUUUCUCCACAUCUAGUUAUAUAACACAACAGAGAGUUGUGACCCACAAUUUAAGAAGGUGAGUACAAGCUGACCCUAACCUCUUCAUAUCCAGGGUCAAAGAAGUAAGUGAUGAGGGGAUGUUCAAGACUAAGACAGCUCGAUAUCUGCCCUUCACCCCAGGACCCAAAGCCAAGCAAGAAAUGGAAGCUUCGGGGGUUCAAAAUACCCAGAACCAAGGCCCAGAGCUCCAUUCUCAGAGCUGACCCACAGAGGUGUGGCAGAGGAAGAAUACACUGAGAGACGUGUUGCCGAUGGACAGGUCAGGCCUGUAGAUGUGUAUGUGUGGACAGCUAGGAUUAUGUAAGAUAGUGAGAGUAUUCCCUCCUGGACAUAUCCCAGCACAGGGGAUGUGGAAGGGCUCAGGAAGAGUUCCAGUGUCUGCAUAUGACUGAGUACUUGUGCAUGGUGAGAGCAGUGAGUGUUUACAAGAGGGUGUGCAGGCCAUGUGCAGGGCUUGGGUGGGCACCGGGGUUAAUUACAUUUUCUGGUUGGCUGAGAGGUAGUCAACGAUGCCUUUUGCUUCCAACCCAAUGAAUGUUUGCCUCCUCGGAUGUCUACUUCCGCCACUUUGGAAGAGGGGUGCUGACAACCUGAAGCGUGUGGAAGAGGUGUUGAGGGCUGGGGUAGCCAAGAGGAGGACUGACUCAGGAGUAUUUGCGGCCACAGGUCUCUCCAGCCUUUCCAGAACUACAGGGUGCAGAUGAAAUCUGGAAAGCCAGAGGCCAGACUGAGACAAAAACAGGCAGGCUCCUGGUUCAUAUAAGGAUGGAUGGUAUGUUGGCUUCCUGUUAGGACAAAGAUGUGCCCCAGCCAUCUGAGUGCCUGCCUGGGAAGUACACUGCCAGGCUAACUCCAUACCCUGAGCUCUGGGACCACUGAUUCCUGUUUCCCAAGCUUGAUCCCAGCUACUGAGACAGACAGGUUCCUGCAGGCUCACCUUGCCCCAAAUAGCUCAGGGCUUUCUUACAUGGGACUGAGCAUUUGGAAUUGGUGAACAGAUUUACCUUAACUGUGAAGGUUAACGUCAACCCGGGACCUCUGAUUGCUGGGUGUGAGUCUCAGACUACCUCCUAGCUCUAUAGAACAUAGAGCUCUCUACAGAACAGCCACAGGGGCAAGUGGCCAUGCCUGUCUAACCACUGUGGGCUGUUCACUGCCUGUCUAGCUACCUGCUUAGCGCUAUCAUGUGAAAAGAAUACACUGAAGUUGCUAGGAGAGCCAGAGGGAACACUCAGCAGCGAACUGAGUCUGUGCAGCAGGGAAGAAGCUUUCUAAAGGAAAGGAGUAAGGCAAACACCAGCCCACGUGCCCAGAGAAAGCUGAAGGCAGGGGUGCCCAAAGACCCAGGAGAAAAGAUAGAAAAUGCUGAGGUUGAAUCCUGCAGUUGUCUGUGUGACCUUGCAUGUUCUUCAAACUCUCUGGACUUUACUGCUGUUGUCCUGAAAACAAAUGUUAGUGUUAAUCAUUUCACAAGAUUUGGCAAGCAGGAGUGCAUAGAGUGGAGAUGGACUUGAGACCAACAGGGUAAGUCUCUGGCCUAGGUUAUAGAGGAAGGAGGCUAGCCCGGCUGGAAGCAAGUAGAAAAGGGCAGCCCAGAAGCAACAGCCCAGCCUGCCCAACACUCUGGCCUUGCUGAGAGCUUCCCACCUCUCCUUUCCAUUUCUUCUCCCCUUGAGAUGCUCCUUCCUGGAGGCCUUGUAACCAGCUAGGGAGCAAAAUGAUCCACAGCCUGAGCAGACUUCCUUGUACUGGGUGAACUUGAUUAUUUCUUCUCUCCCUGAGCUUUGUAAAAUGAGCAGUUGGCCUGGUUGGUGUCCAGUACCAUCUUGCUCCUCCCCAAGUACUAACAAUCUGAAAGGAUUGAGCCCAGCCACAGGGGUAUAGCUUUGCAUGAAAAGGACCAGGAAUGGUGAUGAAACAAAAUGCCCAGGGUAUCAUUCAUUCUUUCAUUCAUUCAGUCAUGAGACACUGGGCAUGUAUUCAGUGCCAGGGCUGGAGAUGUGUUUAUGAAUGGAAAUCACCUCCAACAUGGGAGGUCGUUCUGUUUGGGAGAUGGCACAAUGCUGUGGGAGACAAGUCACUAAUAGAAUGUUUACAGAUGUGUGAGAAAGGAUGGCAGAGACACUGGUGGUAGGACUACAGAGGAAGGGGUCCAUACAGGGACAAUAAAGGCCAGUGGGACAGAUUUCUGUUCCGUGGCUCCAAAGAGAAGUUGCCAAGCCUAGAUAUUGCCUGUGCAGAUUUAUUCUGAAAUCCCUGGUCUUUACUGCAGAGAACAGCGCUGUGUCCAAGCCCACCUCGGAAUCCUAUGUGCCACCAGACACCAGGGCUGGAAAGAAUGAGGCAGGCGUCCCUGAGCACUGAUUAACUUUCAAGUUACUCUGCUAUGCUGGGUGCAGUUGAAGUUUUAGCAAGUCUCCUGGGGUUCCCAGGCAGCUUUAGCUUCAGCCUGAAAGAACUAUUAAGGUCCAAUCAAAAUAAAUAAAGUCAGAUCCAGGAAAGCGACGUGUUUGUGACUGCAGACCAAACACUCAGGAUAUUCAUACAGAAACCCAGCACCCCACUACUGGCAGAGGUCUCUUACUGGACUGGCAAUGGACCCAUACACACCAGUACCUUCUCUCAAAGGCCCAGAGCCAUGGUACACAGCCAGGCCCCAGCUCUGGACUCAGCUGGGACUUGUGGUGAGGAAAUGGAACAGGCAGUCCCAUAGAUGGAUCACAGGAGGUGUCUGAACAUGUGUUCCCAUGAUGCGUGGCCAGGCUGGCAGCAAGGGGAAUCCUGACCAUGGGCAAUAGGAAUGGAAAAGGCGGGCCUUGGAGCACAUGAUCCAACAGAAUCAAAAACUAAGUAAGGAAGCCGGUGUGGUGUACACACCUGUGAUCCCAUCACUGGGGUGGCUGAGGCAGAAAGAUCAUGGAUUUGAGACCACAUAGUAAGACCAUCUCAGAAAGAAAAGGAGAACAAAGAGAAGGAAAGGAUGAAGAAGAGGAGGAUGAGGGAGAAGACUCUAGAAUCAGUGGUUUUCAACCUUCCUAACCCUGUGACCCUUUAAAAUAGUUCCUCAUUGCAACUUAGUAACUGUAAUGUUGCUACUGUUAUGAAUGGUAAUAUAAGUAUGGGAUACACAAGAUAUCUGAUACAUGAGCCCUGUGUGGGGGAGGGCUGCCAGAGGUGUGGGACUGUUUACCUCAUAAAGGGUCAUGACCCACAGGUUGAAAACCACUGUUCUAAACCCUGAGAGAGUCAAAGACAGUGAAUGUGAAUGCUAGCCUGCGUUUUCACCAGACAAGAGAACCCUAAUGAGUCAAGCUAAGUUGCAAACCCCUACUCUUAGGACUAGGGUUACUGAAUAUUUGCUGCUUCAACUGGCAUUCCUCACUGAUCCAUGGAAGAGAAUCGAAGGCCUAUGGAGAGAAAAUCAACACCAAUGCUAGAGGCACCUGCCCAUCUUAAGGUUCAGAGCAACCAACAGGGAAGCCACUGAGACCCCAGCAGUCUGCUGAAUGCUAAGUGCACUGGCCCUGCUGGAGACUGGCCUGGCCCUGUUGGAGACUGGCCUGGAGCAGCUGUUUUCUCCACAGGCUCAAGAUCCCUUCUUUGACUCUGCCUGGCUCCCUGCUUCCUUUUGCAAGCUUCCCAGAGUCCUAGAUGGUCACUGGCCUUCUGUGCCUGGCCUGAAGUCCUCCAAGUCCUCCUUCCCUCUGCCUUACCCCCCAUGCAGCAGCUCAAAGGCCCCUUGUGCCUGCCGAGGCCACACCGCCUGCACACAGAGCUGGUCUCUUACCUCAUAAACGGCUAAUUUGUUACAUAUUUUCUGACGCUGUAAAUGGGAGAACAAAGACCUUUUCUCUCUCAUAUUUUUGUUCAAUUAUGUUUGUGGGGGAACCUGAUCCCCUUCAAAGUGGGGGCUGGGGCUGCUGGUCUGGAAGCCUCCUAGGCUAGCUCCUGAGCCAACAACCCACAAGGGUGACUGAGGCCUGCUGGGCCUGGGUGCCAAGAACAUGGUCGGGAAGGAGGUAUUAGAAAAGACUGGAAGAGCAGCUGCCAGGCUCAGAAGCAGCCCAGAUGAAGGUGGAUUCCUUCAGGGCAAGGGACCUCCUCCUCGGAGGAAGAACCCCUUUCUCAGCCAUUCACCACUGUGCUGGCAGGGGCAUAAAAGACAGAGUUCUUGUCACUGAGCUGACAGUCAUGUGUCAGGUAGGGAGGAGUGUGCACCUGGGAAAGAAGUUUCUCACCGAGAAUCCUGAGUCAUUCCUGAGCCCCUGUGGUGCUGAGCCCCUCAACCACAGUGAGGCUCCACCUCUAGGUUCCCAACUAGCCCCCUUCCCCUCUACAGUAAACUUACUGCUUUUGAGCCAGGGCUGACAGCUGUGCCUAACAUAGGUGGGUGCCCUCAGGGUGUCACAGCUGUGUCCUAAGAACCAGGGAUGUAAGAAUGAGUAAGAGGAAUCGGUCCCCUACUCUUGGCAUAGUUGCAAAGAAGGUGGUGGUAGGACCAGUUUAGCGCAUGAUAAAAAUCCUCAGACAUUCUUCAUUCACUUGCUGUAUGACCUUAGGCAAGUCACUUACCUACUGUGUUUCCUCUCCCCCCACCCCGGUAAAAAGGGAGUAGAGAUGAAAACUAUCUCGUAACUGUUGGAACAUGCAUGCACCAAAACUGGUGUAGAAAUGUGUGCAGUGCCUGUCACAGAACAGUCGUUGGUAGUGGAUGAAGACAAACUCUUUAUCAGUCCUCAAAAGAGAGAGGAAAGAAAGUAAGAGAGCUUGAGAAGAGACCCCCGAGCUGAUCUACGAAGCCAGGGAAGGAAUCUUUCCAAGAGAUGGUGCUUGAAUUGUAGCUGAAAUGUUAAAGUUUGUACGGCAAAACAGAGGCAUGAUGGGAAAGGCAUAUGCAUGUGCAACGACCCUGGAGUGUGAAGGAAGCUGCACACUCAGAAACAGAGCUGUAAAUCAACACAUGGAGUUAGUUAAAACAUGCAGGGCUCAGGGGACGAGGGAAACCAGAGGACAGACACAAGGUCUUACGGAUCAUGGAGAGAUGACACGGAAGCAGUUUGUCACUGUUUCUGGAGUGGCAGUGUGCUCCCAUUUAUGAUGGUCCCGGUCCACAGCAUCCACUGCUGGCCCGUCAGCUAGGGAGGUCAUGGUGUGCAGUGUCCCCAUGGAGAGACAAUAGAAAAGAGUAGACGAAUGAGGCUAAAGGGACACACAGAGCCAGGUCAUAGGGCCCGGCCAGCUAGUCCAAGACCAUAACAGAGAGAGGUAGAGAGGCCACUUGGUGUUGGUUUGUAAGCAGGACUGAGUCACAUUAAUGUCUCUAGAACUCCUAAACCGUACUGGCUCAGGUCAUAAGCCAUAUGGUUGACCACGAAUCUCUCUGUGGCUAGAAUAGUGUGAUUUCUAUCCUGACUCUUGAUCUCUGUCUUUUUUUUUUUUUUUGGCACACACUCAGACCCAUACAAUCCUAGAGACCUCAUUUCUAAUUCCAGGGCAGAACAAUGCUUUGGCAUGUGUCUGACCCUUCUGGUCACAAUAACUCAAAAAAAGGAACUACUAACUGGACCUAGGACCUAGGAGACUGCAAAAGGAAGACAUAGGCUGGGGAUAGACUGAGACCAACAAGUCCAGGGCCCCAGAGAAAGGUUAAGGCAGGGUCAUGAAAAGCCAGCAUAGACCUGAGGCCCAGGGGAAGUUUCUGGCCAGGAGCUAAAAGGCUGGGAGGUAGCCUUCCUGCCCACCUGUGAUGGAGUCUGAAAGCACAUGGGCCCUUAACAUAUGCCCUAUAUGUGGGAGUGGGGGUUCUACCCUCCUCACAGCACAUUCAGUCCACCAUCCUCAUGAGGUCACUGCAGCAAGGAAGCUGAUUGGCUCUUAUCUGAUCCAUACACAGAGCUUUGCUUCUCCUGAACGAGUUUACAGUUUCUGUGCUCUUGCCCCAAGUCUGAGGCUUGGGCGUCUUCCAUAUCAUAGUCUAUCUUUAGUAGAGGGAAGAGGUGAGAAGGGGCCACAGAGACUUGGUAAAAGCAAACCAAGCAGACAGUUGCCUCACCUCUGAGUUCAUCUGCUCCCCGUCGCCUUUCCUUUCCUGUGGCUGCACUCAGCCCUAAGAGGAGCCACAAGGCACCUCCCUUGUUCAUCUGCCUCGCCUGCAAUCUCCUUCCUUCUCCCUGCUGUAUGGCAAACUCAUGCUUUCAUAGUGUACUUGCUACAGUCGCCUUCCCCGACCGUGGUCUCUGAACCUUUGUGGGACUCCAAUGGCACAGAGUCCACCCCUGGACGCUGGCCUUGGCGAGAAUUGCUUGCUUGCAGCAAGUCCUCCCAUGUGCCACCCGACACCUGGAAAUUAUUUGGUCUGUCAAUCAAGCAAUCAGCACAGCCUAACCAGGAACACUGUCCACGUUUGCUUGCACUCUGGCCCCUCCUCUACACCCCUGCAGCAUAGCCUUUGAAGACCACCCCAGC